CAUUGUUGGAGAGUUUGAUCCUGGCUCAGGACGAACGCUGGCGGCGUGCUUAACACAUGCAAGUCGAACGAUGAAGCCUUUCGGGGUGGAUUAGUGGCGAACGGGUGAGUAACACGUGGGCAAUCUGCCCUGUACUUUGGGAUAAGCCUGGGAAACUGGGUCUAAUACCGGAUACGACUCUUGGCCGCAUGGUUGAGAGUGGAAAGCUCCGGCGGUACGGGAUGAGCCCGCGGC
rnacentral:rRNA from 1 species